rnacentral:rRNA from 1 species
CAGCCAGGGAUGCCCUCAGUAGCGGCGAGUGAAGCGGCAAGAGCUCAGAUUUGAAAUCGUGCUUUGCGGCACGAGUUGUAGAUUGCAGGUUGGAGUCUGUGUGGAAGGCGGUGUCCAAGUCCCUUGGAACAGGGCGCCCAGGAGGGUGAGAGCCCCGUGGGAUGCCGGCGGAAGCAGUGAGGCCCUUCUGACGAGUCGAGUUGUUUGGGAAU